UGCGUAGGCUGUGUGUUAAGUUGGAUGUGAAAUCCCUCAGCUCAACUGAGGAACUGCAUCCGAUACUGGCAUGCUUGAGGAAGAUAGAGGUGAACGGAACUGAUUGUGGAGCGGUGAAAUGCGUUGAUAUAAUCAGGAACACCAGUAGCGAAAGCGGUUCACUGGGUCUUAACUGACGCUGAUGCACGAAAGCCAGGGGAGCGAAGA
rnacentral:rRNA from 1 species